rfam:Danio rerio chromosome 12, GRCz11 reference primary assembly.
UUACAAUUAAAGGAUAUUUCUUGCGGCUGAAUACGAGAACAGAAAUGUCCCUUAAUUGUUUGGU